UAGUAAUGCCCAGUGUAAAUUUAAUGUCUCCAUAACAAUAUUUCGGCCAUCAAGAUUCACAAUUCUCAACAGACCGUUAAGGCCGUUAAUUGGUAUAAAACACCUUCAAGUCAAGAGGUUCCUUAUGGUUAUUUUCCAAUCAGAUAAAAAAUGGAAAAGUCGGGUUUCUCCCAUAUUCAAAGGUCACUUCCAUCCGCAAGCGACCGGUGGUGGGGUGAUUCUCAAAUCAGUCAACAUCUCUUCAUUAGUUGUCAUCCUUAGAUCAGUCAACAUCUCUUGACUGGUUGUCCAUCUUUAAAUCAGUCAUUUGUUUAAGGGGGUAUUCUAGUCUAGAGACACGAAGUUCGGGCGCUUUUUCGAGCUCUGUAAAAAAAAUAAAGACAAUUUUUACUAUCAAUUUUUUAUCAUUCGUUUAUUUAUAUUUUAAGAAUACAUAAAAAAUGUAAAAAAUUAAAAACUCGAAAAGUUAUCGGUUGGUAAAGUGGAGGGGGGGUCCAAAAAAGGGAUGUCUUGACGUGCAUGGUUCCAAUCUUUCUGUUUAUCUGAAACAAAAACAUCCAACGGAUUCUUAAUCAGUAAAGAUGUCGCUAUCGCCCCUACUUCGGAGAAAAAAAUUUGUUUCACAAAAUGGCGUCCGUUUGAAAAAAAUUUUUUUUACAUUUCUUUUAACAGUUUCAAAUUUUUAAAAAAUAACUAUAUGUUAAAAUUUUUUAAUUUAAUCUGCUAAACGACAGAGGGAUGUAUAGAGAAAGUUCACACAAAAUUUCAAAUAAGUCGGUUCAGUAGAACUUCAGAUAUCAUGCAUGCCAGCUUGAAAAAAGUAGUUUCGAGAAAAACGCGUUUAAAGUUCUUUGAAGCAUCCGAAGCACGGAUUUUAGAGCGUUCGAUUCGAGUUUCGUCUCAUUUGACAGCGAACGUAUGGGCUUCUGGACCAAUCGUAAUUCCCAUAAAGUUCGCUAUUUUUAAAAUGAGUAUAAAACCUUUAUUAAAAAUAUUAACAGCGAGAAAAGUAACAAUUUCAACGGUCGCGUUCCUAUAUGAAUGUGUUUCGGAGCAAAAGUCUAUAUCAAAGAAUUUAACGAUUCGUUAUUAUUCUGAGUUUCAGAACCCAAACAUCGUUCUAAUAAGGUAUUUGCAGACAAACUUUUAUAAAUUGGUUUUAUAACUUGUUGAGGAAAUGUUAGGUUGGUAUAAUCACUGUGCGCGGACUGGGUCUGAGGGUCUCCUCUGCGAAGUCGGAGGCCAUCUGGUUCUAUGACAAGAACAGGCAAGGAACUCUUCUGUUCGGUCUGAGCAUAAACAUGGCAAGUGAAACCGUCGGGGUGGGAUCGCGGACGAAAUACCUGGAUCUCAUCAUCGACAGCCAGUGGACGUUCGAGCCGAUUCCCUGAUUUCGAAGUUGUCGGCGGCUGCCAAUACCUUGUGCGGCCUGCUGCCGAACAUCGGCGGGGAGGGAGUCGACUAUACGAGGGCGUCGUUCGGUCCCGAGUGGUCGUCGAGUUGUCGCAGCAUCCUGCUCCUCAGGAGGUUGCAGAGGAUAUCAGAAUCGCCAGAGGAUACCGAACAGUGUCCCACGCAUCGGCGACCGUUCUGGCCGCGUCUCCCCCGUGGGAGCUUCGGGCACUGGGGCUCAAGAGAAGAUACACCCACAUGAGAGUAUGGGACCGAGGAGAGGACCCGACCGACCUAGGGAUCGCCGAGGAGGACGCGUGGAACCAGUGGCGAUCCCAGCUGAUCAACGAGCGAGACGAACAUCGAAGCGCGAAAGCGGUCCUCCCAAACUGGGAGAUAUGGAGAAGCCGCCGCGGUCUCCCACUCACCUACAGAUUGACCCAGAUGCUCACGGGACAUGGCAUGUUCGGCGAGUACCUGAUGAAAAUCGGACGGGAGAGGACGGACAUCUGUCACCACUGCGGGCAGGCCAGGGAUACGGCGCAGCACACGCUGGAGUUUUCUCCGGCGUAGGAGCUGCCCCGCUAUACCUUGCGUCUCGUCAUAGGCGAGAGACUGAACCCCUCUGCGAUCGUAGAAACGAUGCUGAGUGGGCCACUGGAAUACGAGGCUGUCCGCCUCUUCUGCUCGCGAGUUAUGCACGCAAAGAAGCGAGCAGAAAGGGAGAGAAAGAGAAACUCUCACCUUUGUAGGAUAACGCGGUGGAGGGGGAUGGCGGUCAGGCGGCCUAGAGCUGCUUCAUCGCCGUCCCAUCGGACCGCGACUAGAAGGGGGGAUAACGCUAGGAGCAAUGCCCGCCCCCCUCCUAACGCCAAAUUCAACAGUCAGGGAAUUGUUAGGACUGGCUCAAACAAGAGGACGCGAUGGAAAGCAAAUUCAUAAGAGGUUCUUGGAGCACUCUUGUCAUACACGUAGGAUGAUCAUCAUGGAGUUUUAGUCUAUAAGAGUCCGAUACUACUCUGCUGUUGCCGAUUAUUAGCAGCAGCGGAGUAUUCAUGAGGAUUUCUCCACGUGCAAAAGAAAGGCGUCGACCACAUGUUAAUUAUCUAAGUGCAUCCGGUGUGUUCAUAUGGCUGUACAUGGCGGUGAAAUACAGAACGUAAAAACUGAA